UGUUUCCAGACACUCUGUGCAAAGAACAGAGGCAAGCCUCCAGCCAGGAGCUCAUGAAAUCGUGAACUGAGGCCACAGUGCAAUAACCCAUGAGGAACUGAAUUAUUUCAACAGCCAGUUCUGGAAGUUAGAAGUACAAGAUCAGAUUGCCAGCAUCAUCAGGUACUCAUGAGGGCCAUCUUCCAGCUUGCAGACUGCCAACUUCUCAUUGUGUCCUCAGGUGAGGAAAACUUGGCUUGUGGUGAUAUUCUUGGAUUUCACCUUCAUCCCCUCGGAUGUUUGUAGAUAAUGCUUCAUUAUAUUUGGAAUGAAUACUGUAGAUAUAUGAGGUCGGACCAUCCUACAUUUUGCUUGUUUAUGGGUUUUGCAUCUUGAUGUCUUCCUGAAGUAUUCUUCAUGGGGAAUUUCCAAAUCAACCACAAUUUGAUAUCAAAGUAAUGCCAAGUGCUUCUGACCCACUGCAUUAAACAUGUGCUGAGCAGUUGGUGGUAGAAGACAUUAUUGUGAAGGCUGCUCACCACCAAUUUCAUCACUGUUGCUAACUCCAGCUCAUCUAAUCUCUGCAACAUCUGCUACCAGCACCUUGUCUUCCCUCCUUUUGUGAACAUAGUUUUUUUCUUCUGGUUAGAAAAUCAGUUCGAACUUCUUGAGUAUGCUUUGUGUUUUAAACUCUUCUCAACUGUUCCCAUGAUUGAUGGAUGCCCAGAGGCUACCUCUUUAUCUCCAGCAACAUAUUUGGCUGUUGGCCCGGUAGAGAGGUACUCCAGAAGCUUACUGGUUCAUCAUGCCCUCAUCUUUAACCACAACUAUUUAUCUGACUCCUUCCAUCUCCACAGCACUGUGUGAGGGAUCAGUGAUAAGAGACGGUGAAAGAGAUGCGCAAAUGGAUAAAUAAUAAGCAGGAUAUGUAGAAUGACACAAAUAUUGAUGAGUAAUUUAGGAGAUCCAAUAACUAAAAAAAAAGAUUGGGGACAAGUUCAUGGAAACAGUAAUCAACUAAGCCUUAAAACAUAAAAUUUACAAAUAGAGAAGGCAUGUAAUCCAGUAGAAUAGAGUGCAAAAGAGGUAGAAGACUAAUCGUUUCAAGACAUGUUGAGCCACAACAGCAAUAGCAUUGUGACAAAAAACAUCAGUGUAGAUUGCAAAAGAUCUUAAAUGAUGGAUCAGGCUGUAUAGACUUUUUUUUGCCCUCAUAUACUGAAUAGUUAUUUAAGGUAUAUAGUGCCAACGUAAGAGAGAAAGAUAAACUUUUUUUAACACAAGUUGUAGGCCUUGGAAAGAAGUUUUCCAGUAACAAGAUAACACGAAUAAUGUACUGUGGUUAUAAGCGCAAAGUGGUAUAUUUGAUUCAGUGUUCCCAGAACCACCAAAACCUUGGAACCAUUGUUUAGCUAAAGCUACUAGAACAACAGAAUAACCUACUUUGUGGCAUUGUAAAGUAAAAUUAUACUACACACAAAUACUUGACAUAAAAUACAUUUCAAAACUCAAUUAUUAGGGAUAACAUAAGCUCAAAAUGAUGCUUUGCAAACAUCAUGUAUCCUAUAAUUGGAGAAAAAAAAUUAAUGAAAUGAAGUAAAAUGACUGAGUUCUGAAACUACAUUUCAAUUUAAAUAGCAUAAGCAAUUUAGUAUAUAACAUUCUUCAAAAUCAACUGUUGAAGGUUAACUAUAAUCUACAUAUAAAAACAACUUUGUCAACUUUUUGUACGGAUUUUCCUUCUAAACAUAUUUAUAUGUAAAAUCAAAAAAUUUCCUGAGUUAAAGGCUAAGACUUGACUUUAUGAAUACAUGCCCAAAAAUUGGUGGUGGCUGGUUUCUGUUUUUAUUUUGUAAGCUUAGUAAAAUGGUUGUCCAGAACUUGUAAGCAAUGACCUCAUUCCUAAGCGGACAAGAUGCAAAAGACCAUUUUUACAGAUUAACCAUCUGGUUCCUUUAGGAAGAGUAAUAUUUCAACAGGUUCCUGUAUUUCAAGAAUAUAAACAAUUAAAAAGAUGAAGAUAUGUGAAAUACAAAGAAAAAAUAGAGAAAAUAGCAUUUAAAGCAAAUUAUCCUAGCUCCCUCAAUUAAUAUUUUAAAACCAUGACAAUCAUAUAAAUUGUUAAUUUUAUUUAAUACAACAUCAAUAUAAUUCAUACCAUCUUCUUCAACUAGGUGGUCUAUCAUUUUGGAGUUUCUUUCCACCUCUGGAGAAUUGCUCAGGAAAUCUGGCUAACAUAUCAAAUAAACCAAAUGGAUUUAA